CCUACCUGCGUUUGAUCUUGUAUUUUAUACUGUACAGAUGUCGUGAGUGGUAUAUGUGAAGUGAGCUAUCAUCAGCCUGAUGAGGGAAAGCCUGCUGGAAAAAAAAUCAUAAAAACAGGAAACAAACUUCAAGGACCACCAAGGCUGGAAGGUGAUAUAAAUAAGUGAUAAGAGCCACCUGGUGAAUGGGCAUGUGAACACAUUCAGCAAGUAACAGGAAUCAUGUCCAACUGGAAAGCACACAGCUCGCCUCCUCUCCUCAAGGCAGCAAUGGUUGGCUACACUCUUCCAGAAGAUUACUGACAUCCAGGAAUACAUUAUCCAACAUUGCCAGAAACUUCAUUUUUUUUACAAAAAAAAAGCAAUCAAGGUUUUUAUUUGAAAUCACCCAAAUUUUAUAUGAAUUUUAUAUUGAAAUCACCCAAAUUUUAUAUGCUGCUCAUGUUUUUUAAUCAUUUGCACAUAUUUGGACUGGAUUAAACCUUUGAGCUUCCAGUUUUCCACCUUAUCUAGAAGUCUGACAAGUCAAUAAUAUGUUCUUACUAUGGGAUCAUUUUCUACUAAAAUCUCAUUGCUUUUGGACAGCACUACCCAGCUGGUCAGUACUGGCAUUCUCCUGAGUUAAAGAGUAGGUUUUGUAUGCCCAUUUAUAGGGAAUGUCCAUUGGGCCCAGCAUCAAAGUUGCAUGUAUAUAUUUUCAGCAUAUAAAAAGCACCAUAUACUUAAUUUUUGUUUCAGGAUAGUCAUUGUCUAACAGAUUUUAUAAAACCAUUGUCCAUAAAGGAGUUUUCUAAAAAAUUAAAAUACAGACUUUUCAUAAGAAAGAAAAAUCAUUUAAUAAUGUAAAAUAAGCACUACCCUAUUGAUAAGUAGCAAUGAGGCUACUAAAUAAAUAUGAAUAAGUUUCCAACACAAAUAAUUAACUUUUCAAAUUGAUUUGGAGAAAGUGUCUAUGACCAUCUUAAGAUCAUUGCCUGCACUGUGAACCCACUCCCAGAAACAAACACAACAUGGUCUUAGUAAUUUAAUUUUACUGUUAAAAAAAUAGUCUUUUUAAAAAUUUUAUGACUUAGUGUGAACUGUAGAAUGACAUUUAAUUUUAAUCAUUAAUUAAUAUUUAUUUGUUUGUUUCUAUAUAUAUUCUUGAUAAAAACUAAGUGUAAUACACACCAAAGGACAGAUGACUGAGGUGUAGUCUAGCAGAAGUCAAACCAGUUUCUAUUCUAGCUCUGCAUAGCCAUGUAAAAUCAUUAUAGGCUUCAAAUUUUUCAAAUGUCAAAUAAAAUUCAUAGAAUUAUUUCAAAAAUCAUUUGAAUAAUGAUAGCGGCCAUAUAAUUAAUCCAAUACGCCCUCAAUGCUUGAAUCUCUUCUAACCAUUCAUGUACAUAGUCUUAUAGUGUCUCUCCCUCUCUUGCACACACACACACUCAUAUAUAUACACAUAUGUGUGUAUAUAUAGGGAUAUAUACAUAUGUCCCUGUCAAAUGAAACCAGUCAAUCUGUGCUUGUAAACCUGCUACAGAGCUCACAGUUCUUGAUAAGGGGUAGUCCAUUUUAUCUUUGGAGCAACUAUGACUAUCAGCAAAUUCAUCCUUAUGUUGAAGUAAACUCUAUCUUUCUGUUAUAGUUACUUAUUCUUCCUCCUUGGAACAAUACAAAUUAUGUGUGACAGCACUAUAUAUUUCAAUACAGUAAACUGAAUACAGCUAAUACAUCAUCUCCAAGUUUUCCAUUUUUCAGGCAAAACAACUUAAGUUCCUUCAAUCAUUCUUAUAAUAGGUUAAAUCCUCCCUAAUAUCAUGUUCACUUCUAAAUACCCUACAGCUAGUGUAGCAGCAUCCUCUUCUCUAUGUCUGGUUCUAGAAUCAAAUAUAAUCCUCUAGGUGGGAGUUAGUGAGCACACUGCACAGAAUUGAAAAGAACUACUACUUAAGUAUUCCAGAUCCUAUGCCUCCCAAAACAUAUUUUUGUUAAGCAAGUAUGACGAUUAAUUUUAUGUGUCAACUUGGCUAGGCUAUAAUGCCCAGCUGUUUGUUCAAACACCAAUCUAGAUGUUGCUAUGAAGAUGGUUUUUAGAUAUGAUUGUUAUUUACAAUCAGUAGACUUUGAGUGAAGCAGAUUGCCCUCCAUUAUGUAAAUAGGCCUCAUCCAAUGUGAACGCCUUAAGAAUAAAGACAGAGGUUUCCCAAGAAAGAAGCAAUUCUGCAACAUAGAAGCCCUACCUGAGGUUCCCACCUGCUGCAAUUUCAAGCUCAGGAAUACAUCAACCCCUCACUGGAUUUCUAGCCUGCCAGUCCGCCCUACAGAUUUUGGACUUCCCCACAAUUGCAUAAGCCAAUUUCUUUCUUAAAACAUUCCCUAGAUAGAUAUAUAAAUUGAUAGAGAGACAUUAAGACAUUGAGAUCGACAGAGAUAUACCCUAUUGGUUCUGUUUUUCUGGAGAAUCCUGACCAAUACAGCAAGCCAGUUUUAUACAUGCUGCUGCUAAACUCCAUCUCUCCUAUCCUAUAAUUAAUUUUAUUUUUAGUUUUUAUUUGUCCAUACCCAAAAUGAAAGAAAUUAUAUUUAUUCACAAUAAACUUCAUUCUAUUUGAGUUGACUCAUUAUUCUUGGGGGAAGGAUUCUUUUGGAGACCUAAAUCUGGUCUCCCACGUAUUCACUAUCUGUCCAGCUUUAUCUCAAAUACAGAUGAUAGAAUCAUACUUGCUUCACCAAGCCCAGUUCCAGAAGUUCAAUCCAUAUAAGAGUUACCUCUGUAAGAAAAUAGUUUAACACCAGCAAUAACCAAUGUGAGUGUUAUUCUUGUUUUUCCAAAGCAUAAAUAACUAUUUUUAAAUCACACUAGAAAAAUUAUAAAGCUCAAAUUUAGUAAUACAGUUUAUUCCUACCCAGCUUACUAAAUUUUCAGAAGAGAUCAUACCCUUUGAAUGAAUAAUCCCAAAUAAGUAUUGAAUUGAGCCUGUGUACCCCAAGGGGAUUUAGACCAUCUGCUAAUUUUGCUGGGCAAAGGGUUUUUUGGUACAGUUUUACAUACUUUCAGCUUUGGAAAAAUAGAAUCCAAUUUGCCUCCAGCUCUCAUCUUUUUUUCCCACAGUUAAAUACUUUGUCUAUUUAAAACAAACUUUUGAAACCACUUCGUGUUAUUUAAAACCCAAUGUAUUUCUUCCCCACAAUGAACACAGCUGGGGAUAUUAAGGCCACUAAAAGACUAUUUUGCAAGCAGACACAAUUCUUUCUUAGAAACUGGUGUCCUUUAAAAAUUAUUUCCUGAAACAUUUUUAACCUUUACAUAAACAAUUAUUAGGUCAAAUAAUAUUUUUAUUUGGUCCAAUAAAUAUUUUGGAAGGUGAACAAUAUUACAUUUUGAAGCAUGACACAAAUCUGUUGGAAUUUUUAUCUGACCACCAUUCCCAUCUCCCUACCCUCUCUGUGAACACAGGCAUGUGUAGCAAGCCUUUCAUGAACAAGAAAUCCAUUCAAGAUUUGGAUUCCUGGGCCAGUUCUCAGUCAGCAGGUUUCCUAUGCACUUGUAGGUGCCAAACAGCAACUCUCCUGUUUCUCCAAAAGAAUUCUUAAUAGAGGGGGGAAUAAACUUUAAAUGGCUUCCUGAUUUCACCAUUUCUAAAGACCAAUGUUAGGUUGCUGAAAGACUACCUCAUUUGUGCCUUCAGGUGUCUAACAAGCUUUAGAACAGAGUAAAUGAUGUAAUGAUUUUUUUCUUUCUUUUUUGGUGGAAUAAAUAUUAGAGUAGC
rnacentral:lncRNA from 10 species